UACGAAGGGGGCUAGCGUUGCUCGGAAUCACUGGGCGUAAAGGGCGCGUAGGCGGCCAUUCAAGUCAGGGGUGAAAGCCUGUGGCUCAACCACAGAAUUGCCUUUGAUACUGUUUGGCUAGAGACCGGAAGAGGUAAGUGGAACUGCGAGUGUAGAGGUGAAAUUCGUAGGUAUUCGCAAGAACACCAGUGGCGAAGGCGGCUUACUGGUCCGGUUCUGACGCUGAGGCGCGAAAGCGUGGGGAGCAAACAGG
rnacentral:rRNA from 1 species